UCUUCAUGCCGGAAUCUUCGGAAUCUUCACCAACUGUCUCCCAAGACCACCUUUCUCUUGCAUUUCAACUCAUGUACCUACUGUGGUUUCCUCCAUACCACAAGCUCCCUCGUGCACUUCCUUCUGGGGACUACAGCACCAAAAUGAAGGUGGCUAGAACAACUUGCACUUGGGACUCUGGGACAUGAGUGACAGCAUAUGCAAGGACUAUGUGUGUCUGUUCAGCGGGAGCAUGGAGUCCAUGGGAAAGGCACCCAUCCCAAGGGCACUGUGACACACAAGGGCUCUGGCGUCGCUCCCUGCGGGAUGCUAGCUGAUGAUGUGAUGCUAAGACACAAUCAGAACUGACCCGUUCCCAGCUUGUCACUCAUCAGAAAUGUGAUGUGUCUGUGAAGCCCUGUCCUUCAUCUAGGAGAGAAAAAUGGGUUGCUGCCUUCACUUCUUAUUGAUCGGAGCAUCUUUCACUGCUGCUGCUGCUGCUGCUGCUGCUGGCCACCGCCGCUGCCAUCAGACUCUAGUUUCUUAAGCCUUCCAACUGAUUAGAAAUCAAGACUCUCCAGGAAGCUUCCAGGCCUUCAACACCAAUUCAGACUGCUGAUAAAUCCAGCUUCAUGCACUGAGCAACUACUGCGUCCUUGACCUCUCCAGUACACACACAGCUUGCGCACAGCUUCUGUGGGUCUACCCAGCACACAUCACAUAAAUCAAUCUGGUACAUGCCCAUCAUACACAUAUUCUGUGGUUGUGUCUUCUAGAGAAACAGUGCCUAAUAUGGAAAGAGACAUUCCACUAUGAUUUCCUCCCCCUUGCCCUCUUAUUUUAAAAUCAGAAUUGUUCAUUUUUGUUCUUA